AGAGCAGGAAGACCAGAGGGCUUUGUCCAGCCUCUGGAUGCCCCAAGGAGCCGAGAUACUCGUGGGUGUGCUGGGCACCAUGCUCCUUCCUUAUUGGCACUUCUUUUGCCAGAAGAAUCCUGGGCAGGAUUGACUGUGGGUCUUAGACCCAGAAUCUUAGCAUUGGAAGGAACAGAUGGAAACUGCUGUCAUUCAUCAAUUCAGGAAGGUCUGAGUGUGAGGCUAACACUGAGACUAUGAUGUUUUGUCAGGGGGGACAUGAGAUGCUACUGUGUGACAGUGCCAAGCACAAUGAGGAUGCUUCAGAAAGGAGGCUGAAUCAGAAGGUCUGAAUCCAAUUAUCAGCAAAAGGCAGCCUGAGCUCACCUUCUAACAUCUCCCC